rnacentral:tRNA from 1 species
AUGCUAGCGUAGCUUAACUAAAGCAUAACACUGAAGAUGUUAAGACGGACCCUAGAAAGGUCCCGUAAGCA